CUUGCUUUUCUUGAGAGCGGCGGACGGGUGAGUAAUGCCUAGGAAUCUGCCUGGUAGUGGGGGAUAACGUUCGGAAACGGACGCUAAUACCGCAUACGUCCUACGGGAGAAAGCAGGGGACCUUCGGGCCUUGCGCUAUCAGAUGAGCCUAGGUCGGAUUAGCUAGUUGGUGAGGUAAUGGCUCACCAAGGCGACGAUCCGUAACUGGUCUGAGAGGAUGAUCAGUCACACUGGAACUGAGACACGGUCCAGACUCCUACGGGAGGCAGCAGUGGGGAAUAUUGGACAAUGGGCGAAAGCCUGAUCCAGCCAUGCCGCGUGUGUGAAGAAGGUCUUCGGAUUGUAAAGCACUUUAAGUUGGGAGGAAGGGCAGUUACUUAAUACGUGAUUGUUUUGACGUUACCGACAGAAUAAGCACCGGCUAACUCUGUGCCAGCAGCCGCGGUAAUACAGAGGGUGCAAGCGUUAAUCGGAAUUACUGGGCGUAAAGCGCGCGUAGGUGGUUUGUUAAGUUGGAUGUGAAAUCCCCGGGCUCAACCUGGGAACUGCAUUCAAAACUGACUGACUAGAGUGUGGUAGAGGGUGGUGGAAUUUCCUGUGUAGCGGUGAAAUGCGUAGAUAUAGGAAGGAACACCAGUGGCGAAGGCGACCACCUGGACCAACACUGACACUGAGGUGCGAAAGCGUGGGGGAGCAAACAGGAUUAGAUACCCUGGUAGUCCACGCCGUAAACGAUGUCAACUAGCCGUUUGGGAGCCCUUGAGCUCUUAGUGGCGCAGCUAACGCAUUAAGUUUGACCGCCUGGGGAGUA
rnacentral:rRNA from 1 species